UAGGGAAUCUUCGGCAAUGGACGAAAGUCUGACCGAGCAACGCCGCGUGAGUGAAGAAGGUUUUCGGAUCGUAAAACUCUGUUGUUAGAGAAGAACAAGGACGUUAGUAACUGAACGUCCCCUGACGGUAUCUAACCAGAAAGCCACGGCUAACUACGUGCCAGCAGCCGCGGUAAUACGUAGGUGGCAAGCGUUGUCCGGAUUUAUUGGGCGUAAAGCGAGCGCAGGCGGUUCCUUAAGUCUGAUGUGAAAGCCCCCGGCUCAACCGGGGAGGGUCAUUGGAAACUGGGAGACUUGGGUGCAGAAGAGGAGAGUGGAAUUCCAUGUGUAGCGGUGAAAUGCGUAGAUAUAUGGGGGAACACCAGUGGCGAAGGCGGCUCUCUGGUCUGUAACUGACGCUGAGGCUCGAAAGCGUGGGGAGCAAACAGG
rnacentral:rRNA from 1 species